rnacentral:rRNA from 1 species
GUUCGUAGGCGGUUUGUCACGUCGUCUGUGAAAACCCACCGCUCAACGGUGGGCCUGCAGGCGAUACGGGCAGACUUGAGUACUGCAGGGGAGACUGGAAUUCCUGGUGUAGCGGUGAAAUGCGCAGAUAUCAGGAGGAACACCGGUGGCGAAGGCGGGUCUCUGGGCAGUAACUGACGCUGAGGAACGAAAGCGUGGGUAGCAAACAGGAUUAGAUAC